rnacentral:tRNA from 1 species
CAGGGAGACAACAAAAUGUUUAAUAUUAUCAUUUUGUCACCUUAGGUCGAUCGGUAUCUCACGUUUUUAAUUUUUUAAGAAUUUCAUUUCCUAAGUUUUUCUAGGUCACACCCAUUUUUUUUCCUGGGCCAUUAGCUCAGGUGGUUAGAGCGCACCCCUGAUAAGGGUGAGGUCCCUGGUUCAAGUCCAGGAUGGCCCAUAUCUCUAUGUUGGGGGUAUAGCUCAGUUGGUAGAGCGCCUGCUUUGCAAGCAGGAUGUCAGCGGUUCGAGUCCGCUUACCUCCACUGAUUACCACCUCUUACAUAAUUUGUAAAAAGGAAAUGUUUUGAGUCGUGAUCAAAUUCUGAACGAAUCUAGCUUCCUAAUGAAUUCAUUAAGAUGCUGGACUCAUUGAAUUAAUUUCAUUGUUUUCAGAGAACCUUGACAACUGCAUAGAUUAUUUUUAAAGACAAUAAGCAUCUUUAAUGAUGCAGAUUUAUUAUUUUUGCAAAUGCAUUAAUAACAAUUCUAUUAAGCUGAUGCUUCAAUUUUGAAGUUAUU